GAAGAAGGAGGUAUAUACAAAUGGAGAAGUGUGGAAAGAGAAUAAAGAGUUUAUAGAGAGGAUCCCAGAUCUUGGGAAGACAUCACAUGAUCAAGCCGGCACUUGCUCUGCUAAAAAGAAAGUGGAGGCACAUGAGAGAAAGAGUUGCUGUGGGACAAAGGUUAAAGUCAAUGAUGAAACUUCAGAUUCUUGUAGCUAGUUCUGAAGCACAUGUUGUAUUUCGUUCAAACACCGUCACUUCUCAAUGAAACCGGAAAAAAAGAAAUGUUGUCGAGUUUUCUCCCCCAUCUUCCAUGACACAACAAUAGCAGUUCAUCGAGAAAUUCAUAUAUUAAGCUCAAAUGAUAAAAGUCUUGGAUAAUAAUCUACAACGCACUAGAACGCCCUUGUUGACAUCCUUUACUCCGACAGCAUCUGGGGUUCCUUGAACAAUGUGAUAUCUCAUCCCAGGUAAAUCCUUAACCCUUUCCCCUCUUACUAAGACUAUAGAAUGUUCUUGUCCAAUUUAUUUGCUUUUAGAAGGCUUAUGUAUAGAGCCAAGCCAUUGUUAACAGUAUGAUAUUUUAGUUAAUAAUAUGACGAGGAAAAGAAAAGCUUCUACCAUAUAACUUUACACUUAAUAUAGUUUAAGAUACUUCUAUUAUAUGAGCUAAAAACCAAGGGAGUGAAUUUGUACAAAUUGUGCAUCUAAUGUGGAUUGUGGAUAUGCAAUGUAACUGUAUUGUGCCCCUUUGCUUUCUUGCGAAAUCAAUGAAAUAUUAGUCGUGUUUCUCAAACUUAGAUUUUAAUGUCAAUCUCCUCUUUAACAUGAGGAAACGUAAUUAUAGGAAAAUUAUAUUGUUCAGAUAAAUCUUUUUCUUUUUCUUUUUUUAUUACGGUAUUCUCAGAUUUGUUGUUCAUUCAAAGGGGCAGCUCGAUAAAGAAAGUAUUCCGCCGCAUGUACGCAGGGUUGGGGAAGGGCCACAAACUUCAGGGUGUGACGUACACAACUUACCCUAAUUAAGGCAAAUGCCUUAUCAUGUAGUAGCAGCAGGUUCAAGCUAGAUCUGUUUGGCUUCUCAAUGUAUCUUUAGGAAACAUAAUGAAGUUACUGUUUCGCAAAGCUUCAAAGUACAUGAUUGUAUGAAUAACGUACAAGACGUAGAAGGCAGCCCCAGCUUGGCGAAUCUCAUCCCCGCUUAACGAAUUGGAUUGCCUACCUCCUAUCAUUUUCCGUUUCAUGUUUAGAAUACGUUUGACUGCUUUUUGUUUUAUCAUAAUGGCACCACGUGUAAAGAGCUUAAUAUAUAAUUUGCUGUUCGAGGCUACUGCAUAUGUCCGUGGAAGAGAAUAAAGAGCUUUCGGUAUUCGAUAUUUGAUAUUUUGGUAUUCGGUAUGUA